ACGACCUUACUUGAACAGGAUCUGUUCUAUAGGCUCGUACCUCUGUAUCUUUGACUUCUAAAGAGACAGGAAACUAAGUCUGGUGGAUGAACCAUGGCUGCUCGACCAGAGCGUGAUUAACAGACUCGUUGGCUCGGGCCAGUUGACUCAGUAGAGGAUCGUUCUCGGUUAGCUUCGACUGGCUGGGACGCUCGAGCAGCUAUCUGACAGACU
rnacentral:snoRNA from 1 species